UGUGCCCUAGAUACUAGUGCACCACAACUCUUUUUUACUUGCUUCCCAACAGCAUUUAAUCACUUGGACUUUCCUCAAGAAAAGGGUCACCUGCAACAGAUUCUUAGCAUUACCAAAACAAAAAAAAAUCUUUGCAGAAGCCUUUUUGGAAUUAUAUUCUUGUGCUAAAAUGUGUUAAUGGCCACAGUCAAAUGGGACUUUGAUCUGCAGAUAAUCAACAGAUUUGAAGCAGACGGGUGUGCUAAUCUCGCAGGCUGGCACAGCACACAGAUAGGUCUGCCAAUAACCCAGGCUGUAAGGAAGGAUGAAAUAAGUUAUGUAGUUUGAUAACUGGAAAUAAUAGAAGGCUGCAUCUAACAGUUUAUGUGGCAAAGAAGCUGAAUCAUCUAAGCUGUUUAUAAAUGUGAAGGCUAAAAGAUUUAUUGUGCAGAAGGUGAUGGGAAGGACAAAAGAAGCUGCAACACCUUUCAGAGAACCAACAUAGCCUUAAGGCUAAUAUCUCUAUCUUGUGUAAGACAGAAGGACAUCAAUGUUGCUGAGUGUGUGAGGCACAGGACCAUGAGGACCAGAUAAGAUCUUCAAGACAACCAGCAUUGUGAGCUGUUGGGAUAACUCAUUCUACUGAAAGCCACCAGAGGACACUCGGAGGGAGAUGAAAAUGGAGGUGUUAGCUGUUGCAUGCAAGAAUCAUUGGUGCUUCCAGAACUGUCUGCGUCUGCCCAGGAUUUUAAACUGAGCUUGGAGUCCGGUGGUGAGUUUGGAGAUACUCUGGAGCAGCCACAGAGCCCAGGUGCUGCAAAACUCGCCCUGCUGGUGUUGUUUGGCUCAAACAGCUGGAAGCAGACCCAGAAUAGCACCUGGAUCUCAAACACUUCUUCCCCUGGACACGGAGACACUGGAAAUGUUUCAGCCAUGGCUCCAUCCUGAUGGUGCCCCAAGGCUCCUCUGCUCCUGUCCUGACAUCCCAACUUGCAGCAAUGUCAUCUACUUCCUCCUGCAAUAAUGAGAAAAACUGACAUAUGGGGCCUGAGAGAUGCACCUUACAGAGGUGGACAUUGUGUCGGUGUCCUCAGGAGGAAAACUGGAAGCAGGCACUCUGGAACAGGGCUUUGACAUGCCUGGUGCUCAGAAAGGAGCUCAGGUUGAAAGAUUCAUAGAAGUCAUGAGUUCCACAACAGACAUGGAAAUGUUCUUUGUCAUUUAUUGAGGAGUUGGUAACUUCUGGGCCUUUCCUUUUCCAUUAUGCGUGUGCUUGAGACAAGACAAAGCUGCUGAGAAACGGAGGAUAUUUAUGAAAUAGUAGUUUCCGUGGCUGAGCUUUUUUAGGAAGAAUACUUCAGCUGAAGAGUUAGAACAGUCUGUGUCUCAAAUAAAUCUGAAUGAUGGAAAUUCAUACUGAAGAAAAGACAGAAGAAGAAAACAGUGGAGUAAAAGAUAUUUUUAAAAUCUAAAAUGCUUAAAUCUAAAAAGUCUGUCUCAGUCUGUAUGUAUAGAAAUAGCUAGAUAAAGUUAGAGAUUUCCUGAUAAUGCUUCUCAUAACAUUAUUCAAGUAAAUAUAAGGAAAAGUUAGGAACUUAUAUGCCCACUAUGUGAAAAGGUGCUUUCUAUUUUGGGUGGCUUUUAGCAGGAAACAUAUGCAUAAAUUUAUUUUAUUAUUUUGAUAAAAUAUUUCCUUCAAGAGUUUUCAGAAGAGAGCAGAAAUAAAAGCAUAUGGUUCUUCCAAGCCUCAGAAAACAUGUUUACAUAUCAGGGAAUCUAUUUUGUAGAAAUCAAUAUGUUUUUAUUGCAUCUGGGGAAGAAUAAUAUUAGACACUUGUUGGUUCUUGGUAUUCUUAAACUCUGUUUGCAAAGGGAAGCAAAUAAUUUUACAGCUGCUUCCAAGAGAGCAUAUUAUUAGAUCUUAAUACUUAACUGUAUUUCCUCACAAACAUGGAUUUGCUGUUGUUAUUGUUGUGACUGUGUCCAGGUGAUCAUAUAGUUUGAAAGAAA